AAGAACAUUAUAUGUAUCACUAAUUAUGUUUAAUGGUAUGAUAAUACCAUUAAUCUAGUCAUUCAGACAUAUUUCAUAUUACGCAUCACUAAUUGUGUUUAAGAAUCCCAAGUUACUACUACACUUGCAUAUUUAACGUUGCAAAAUCCAAUAGUCUUAUGAACUAUUACAUAAAACAGGGAGAAAAUACAAAAAGUACUGUCAAAACACUAAAAUACAACAACCACUUAACCUAUGCCCCCAUAGUAGACUAGUCUUGAAGAUGGAAAAAUCAGUAAGGAGAUUCUGAGUGCAGCAUAAAAGCAGAAAAUCUCUACAAGCUUUGCCAUCCUAUUGCACACCUGAGGGAUCAGGGUAAAUGUUAUAUAUUAAAACUCAAAGAACAUUAUAUGUUAUGAUAAUAUGAACGAAAGCAACUGAAUAUAGUAGAUAUAAAUCAGUGAUGCGUAACCUGGUAUCUAUGAAGUAUGGACACUUUUCAGAGGUGAUGCGCGAAAGCAACUCAAAGAACAUUAUAUUUCAUUAUUUUACUAUCUAGUUCAAAUGUGGGAUCCAAAAACAUACAAUCACAAAACAUACAAUCACAAAAUCAAUAUAUCAAGACAAAAUCACCAAUUUCACCAAUAUCAAUUGAGUUACCUAAAUUUUGCAACAUUCACUGCUGCAAAAGGCUUUAUCACCCCUGAAAGAACAACAAUACAAGAUAAACUAAAAGCGUAGUGAUUAAGAAAGAGAACCAGUACUAAUCCAAAACCAAUAACUAAAUAGUUGAAAUAAAUUAUGAAAUAUGUACCAUCUGUUACAAUCAAUAUAACUGUUGUUGCGGCGGCUCUUGAUUUUGGGGAUAAUUUCCAUAACCAACAUCAUCUUGCAUCUCUGUACCUGUAAAAAAUAAAAUAAAAUAUGUAUAUUAGAUUUAUAGAUAUGUAACUCAUAAUAUUGAAUAAAAUAAAUGAUCAAACCUUGGAUUGAUUGUAACAGUAAUAUUGACUUUCAUACAAAACAUUACAUCAAAGUAAACUAAAUAAAAAACCAAAAAUAAGGCAAAUAAUUUGCAAUAAAGUCCAAAUUCUGCAUAUCAAAGGGUCACGUGUAAUUGAAAAGGGUGGAAAAUCACAAGAAGUAACCUGAAUAUUAGCCCAAACAGCCACUGCAAGAGGAACCCAAUUGUCGAGAGAAAAGACCCAUUUCUCAAUUGACCAAAAACUAAAACCAAAUGAAUUGCAAAUGGGAGAAAAGGCUUUUCCACCAAUAACUGGUUAAAAAGCUCUAUAGCAUCAUUCAAAUCAUAACUCCUCUUUAUACAGGUUAUUUCUUAUGCAUCACUACAAAAAAGAAUUUCUUUAGGAGAGAGUCUCACUGACCUUACGAUUUGCAAACCCUUACUUCAAAUCGGCGGGCUUUGAGAGAAUCCUAGUUUUGACAGAGAAUCGGGGAAAGGGUUUCUGGGAAAGGGGCUUUAAAAAUGAUUUUGCUUGUUGAAAGUGAAAGUUUUUUUUUGCAGAUGGGUUUUUGACCCAGGUCUUUGUGACCCGAAUUUUUCCUCCCUUUUUUUACUUUGUGACCCG
rnacentral:lncRNA from 1 species